rnacentral:rRNA from 1 species
AUACGUUCCCGGGCCUUGUACACACCGCCCGUCACACCACGAAAGUCGGUAACACCCGAAGCCGGUGGCCCAACCUUUUUGGAGGGAGCCGUCGAAGGUGGGAUCGGCGAUUGGGGUG